UUAUGAUGCCCGCAAGCGCGUCUCGUAACCUCCUUCCUCCACUGUUCGUCGAUCGCCUGUUUCGUCUCCCGGAGAUUGCGAUCCUCUUCGCGAGCCUGCGGUCGGGCUCUCAGAAGAAGCAUCACCGUCGAGCUCGCGAGAAGGCGGUGGCUGUCCCCUCUCUCUCUCUGACUGCUCUCAUCACGAUUUUUUUAAAUUAUGAAUAAAUGAGAGAUGAAUUAAGGUUUGCUUGUUGAUUUUAGGGAAAAGGAACCAUUUUUGCGGCUAAUGGUAUGAUUUUUUAGCUCUGCAACUAAUUUUGUCGUCGGCCAAUUGAUGUUGCUGUUCUGAUCGUUCUUCGGUUCUUAAAUAUAGUCCUGUUCCUGGGUAACUGAAAACGUUGAGGGCAGGUGUUUUGAGUAACGGGUAGAUGGGAUUUGCUCAUUUUCUCUUCACUACAAGAAUUUGAUGUGGUGAUUGUUCAUGUUGGCAUCAAAAGUGGUAAUAUCCAAGAUUGUUGUGCUCAUAUCAACCAGUUAUGAUCUAUGAAUGAAUGCUACGAAUUCGUUUCCUUUUUUCUUAUAUGAUAUAUUGAUAUGCUGCAGUGCAGAUGGAAGAUAUGGAUUGGUGGUUGUGCUUCUUUUGAGUUUGGAAAUGCUCAUCCUUUCGUUGAAAUCAUUCUCUUGUUUUGAAGGAGACAACUAGGACUAUCUUACUUUGUGCUAAAUUGGCUGUCCUGACAUGCUUUUAAACAAAGAGAUUAACAAAAAAAUUUCUUUAAAUAGCUUAUGAGACACACAAAUAUGGACUCGAACCUGAAACUUAUCACUUGUGCAACAAUACACUAACGAGUAAGAUGUUUCUACUAAUAUGCUCACAUGAAGCUUGCUAAAGGCAUAUUGCUUGAUUUUUUGAAUGAGGUUUUUUACUGCUUCCACAAGGACUUAAAGUUUCAUUUACUCAAAGGUGAUGAGCUUCCAUCAGGGGUACUAUCUUAUGAGAGUAUAUGUCAUUGGUAACAAGCAUUUCUGGUGGUUGACUGAUCAAGAAUCAGUCAACAUUAGUUUUUAUCCAUUUAUUUGCAUCUCUGCUUGAUGGUAAUGGCAGGGCACAUCAUUUUUACUUAGUCAUUUGUGUCAGCACACUGGUCAGCCUUUCACCACAAUGGUAAUAGAGUAUAUGAUAUAGCUAAUAAGAAUGUGGUUGACCGAUCAGGAUUAUGCCAACAUGAUAUUUUCACCCAUUUUUAAUAUUUAUGGUAGUAUCUGGGCAUAUUAUUUUUAUUUAGUCAUGAGUUUUGGUAGAGUGAUUAGCCUUUCACCUUUUUCUUCCUCAGGAAAAUCCAGAAGAAGUAGAUCAGCUUUUGCACAACACUUGGUUCGAAAUGCAUGCAGCAGUGUGGUCAGGUUGGCAUUCACCAAAAUCUCAGAAACACUUCUGCAAGCACACAACAGUUAGGAUUUGGUUCAGACAGUGCGCAAAAUAGUGGCACCUCAUUCCUUUCUCUGGCUAAGGGAAGUAAGAGGCUGAGAAGUUAUUACCAUUUGGAGCCUGUCAAGCGAGAUCAAGGCACAGAGCAAGUCAAGCAAGAUCGGGGAACAGAAACCAUCAAAGAAGAGCAUUCUGAUAGACCUGAUGAUGAUGAUUCCGUUACCUUUAUGUUUGACAACAUAAAAACAGAGAUUGUUUAAAUAACAGAAAUAGAUGGUUCAGAUAGUGUGCAAAAUAGUGGCACCUCAUUCCUUUCUUGUGCCAAGGAAAGUAAGAGGCUGAGAAGUGAUUACCAUUUGGAGCUUAUCAAGUGAGAUCAAGGCACAGAGCCUGUAAAGCAAGAUCAGGGAGCAGAAACCAUCAAGUAAGAGUAUUCUGGUAAACCUGAUGAUGGUUGAUUCCAUUACCUUUAUGUUUGACAACAGACAGGCAGAGAGUGGCAAAAUGCAGAAAGAGGUGGGGUUGUCAGCGAUGAAGGGGUUGAGAAGUUGGUGAAUCUAAUGCAACUUGGUAAAACUGAAAAAAUAGAUUUGUUUGGUCAGAUAAUGCUUUGUGCAGUUGGAAGUUGCCUGUAAACCUAAAUGCUCUGCAGAUUUGUAACAUUGUUAAGUCGGUGAAUAAUUUGUGCAGUCGCAAUAAUAUGUAGAUCCAGAGGAAAGCUAGGAGUCUUGUUUGGCACUUGGAAGGAACAGGUUGAAGCUGAAAUGUCAAAAAUUGAUGCGAAUUCUGUCAGGCAGCCUGUUUCAGGGCCAGUCAAACCAGGUUAUUCUUAUGUUACUGAAGGAAUUAAGAAAUAAACGCACUGGAUCAACUAGAACAUCAGCAUGCAAACCUCUGCCUGGUAAACCUGCAACAUGAGAUUUUACUAUGAAGUCAAAUUUACCUGCAAAGUUGCUGCUGCUAGUGUGUGUUCAGAGUUGCCUACCAUAACAGUUUAGGAUGAGAAGAGCAGUGUUCCAAAUCAGUCUAAAAAACAAAAGCCAAUUUUGUUCUACUGAUCAAGGUUAUCACAGGUGGAAAAAGCAUCACAAUUUGCACAAACAUGUGAAAAACCAUUUGAUAUGCAUGUUGGUGAUCAUGGAAUGUUGCCGCAAACUGAUUGUUAGGAUUCAUAACCCUGGGCUUUGCCAAAGCCCUGUACAUAGUGCCAGUGGCUGCUCUUUUGAGGACCCAGUGGUUACAGGCAGUAAGUAGAUCAUAAUGAUUAUAAAUUAGAAGUUGCCAUUCUUGAUGAAGAAACAACAGAAAUGUUGAGGAAACUGGUAAGGUUGCAGACCCUACUAAAACUGCCUGUUCAUCUUCUCCAAAUGAAAAUGGAGUUCCCUUGACUGAAUUGAGUACAAGAAUUGCUUUUAGUUCUAUGCAUGUCUUGAACCUUCAGCUGUUGAAGAUAAUAUGGGGUUGAAUCUACUUGCUGCUAGAUGACUGACUCAAGAUCUGGGCCGUAAGUUUACACGAUCCGAAGGCCUACAUCAAGUCUGACCGAUCUGGGUCAAUCCCACAAAUGGGCUCUAAUAGUGGAAUGAUAAAGUGAAAGUAUUAAUAAAUCUCUGAAUAUUAUUAGGAUUCAAUACAUGAAUUGAACAAAAAUAUAUGAAAAAAGCUUCUUUUUUUU